rnacentral:rRNA from 1 species
GACGAACGCUGGCGGCGUGCCUAACACAUGCAAGUCGAACGGAGUAAGUAGCAAUACUUACUUAGUGGCGAACGGGUGAGUAACGCGUAGACAACCUGCCUCUAAAUUGGGGACAACACCGCGAAAGUGGUGCUAAUACCGAAUGUGGUAACUUGGUCGCAUGACUGAGUUAAGAAAGAUGGCCUCUAAAUGUAAGCUAUCGAUUAGAGAUGGGUCUGCGUCUGAUUAGCUAGUUGGUGAGGUAAUGGCUCACCAAGGCGACGAUCAGUAGCCGGUCGGAGAGGAUGAACGGCCACACUGGGACUGAGACACGGACCAGACUCCUACGGGAGGCAGCAGUGGGGAAUCUUCCGCAACGGACGAAAGUCUGACGGAGCAACGCCGCGUGAGUUAAGAAGGUUUUCGGAUCGUAAAGCUCUGUCGUUUGGGACGAACGUGGGAUGUGUGAAUAAUGCAUCCUAAUGACGGUACCAAAGGAGGAAGCCACGGCUAACUACGUGCCAGCAGCCGCGGUAAAAC